rnacentral:misc_RNA from 1 species
UCGCACACUCGGCUGCUUUGCUGUUCCACACUCGCCAUGUGCGUCUUUUCCGCCCCCUGACGCCGUCCACGGCGCUAUCCCGGGGCCGACGUCCCGGACCCUGACCCCUCCCCAGUGU